CACAACCUCAGGCAUUGGUGGAAAUUUCUCUUUUGAGGGGGUUCUGGCAGUCAUCUCUAUGUCAAGUUUUCAAACCGUACCCACAGGAAACUUAUUAAAGUAAAUGAAAAUUAGAAAGCCAUCAAGGGAAAAGUGCUGCUGUGGUUACUGGUAGACAAACAGCAAUAUGCCAUUUUCUGGCUUAAACCUUUGGCCUCCAGUCUGAGCAUGUGUUUGCAGCCUUGGGAUUCCUGUUGCCACUUGGAAAGAUUCUCAGGAUGGUGCCUGCCACAAAGACCUUGGGAACCACAGGAUAAUAUCAAAGUCUCCUGACCUGUUGGAUUGAGUCCAGAAGAGGGCCAAGAAGAGCUCAGAGGGCUGGAGCACCUCUCCUAUGAAGACAGGCUGAGAGAGUUGGUGUUGCUCAGCCUGGAGAAGUGAAGGCUUUGGGGAGCCCUUGGAGAACCUUCCACUACCCAAAGGGGUCCAGCUCAGUAGAGGGAGAGGGGCUUUUCACAAGGGCAUCAAGUGACAGGGCAAGAGGUUGUUCAGUAAGAUUUUUGAAAAGUAUGAACAAAGGCUUGCACAGCCUUCUGCAGACCAUGUCAAGCUUUAUUUCAUCCCUCACACAGAGGAGAAGCUCCUUGUGGAAAUGUCUCAGCUUCCUCUCCUGCAGCACCAGGGAGAUGUGGUAAGUUACAGAGCGAUGGAAACAGGGACACCCCUUUGGACUUCACCCCAAGAAAACCCUCCAAGAUUUUCUUGAAAUCAGCCUUAUAACCCUCAAAACCUGAAAUAAGGCAAAAAUAUUUC